ACGGCUCAGUAACACGUGGCUAACCUGCCCUUGAGACAGAGACACCCCCGGGAAACUGGGGCUAAUCCCUGAUAGGCGAAGAACCCUGGAAUGAGUCUUCGCCCAAAAGGCGUCUAGGCCACGCUUCUAGACGUCGCCCAAGGAUGGGGCCGCGACCGAUCAGGUUGUUGGUGAGGUAACGGCUCACCAAGCCUUUUACCGGUACGGGCCGUGAGAGCGGGAGCCCGGAGAUGGGCACUGAGACAAGGGCCCAGGCCCUACGGGGCGCAGCAGUCGCGCAAACUUUGCAAUACACGAAAGUGUGACAGGGCUAUCCCGAGUGCCGUCCGCUGAGGGUGGCUUUUACCCAGUCUAGAAAGCUGGGAGAAUAAGGAGAGGGCAAGUCUGGUGUCAGCCGCCGCGGUAAUACCAGCUCUCCGAGUGGUGUGGAUGUUUAUUGGGCCUGAAGCAUCCGUAGCUGGCUGAUCAAGUCCCCUGUUAAACCCAACGAAUUAAUCGUUGGAUUGCGGGGGAUACUGCUCGGCUAGGGGACGAGAGAGGCCGACGGUAUUUUCGGGGUAGGGGUGAAAUCCUAUAAUCCCGGGAAGACCACCAGUGGCGAAGGCUGUCGGCUAGAACGCGCCCAACGGUGAGGGAUGAAAGCUGGGGGAGCGAACCGGAUUAGAUACCCGGGUAGUCCCAGCUGUAAACGAUGCAGGCUAGGUGUUUGGGCGGCCACGCGCCGCUCUAGUGCCGCAGGGAAGCUGUUAAGCCUGCCGCCUGGGGAGUACGGCCGCAAGGCUGAAACUUAAAGGAAUUGGCGGGGGAGCAC
rnacentral:rRNA from 1 species